rnacentral:rRNA from 1 species
GACGAACGCUGGCGGCGUGCCUAAUACAUGCAAGUCGAGCGGACGAAUCGAAAGCUUGCUUUUGAUUCGUUAGCGGCGGACGGGUGAGUAACACGUGGGCAACCUGCCCUGUAGACGGGGAUAACACCGAGAAAUCGGUGCUAAUACCGGAUAACACGAAAUGUCGCAUGACGUUUCGUUGAAAGACGGCGCAAGCUGCCGCUACAGGAUGGGCCCGCGGCGCAUUAGCUAGUUGGUGAGGUAACGGCUCACCAAGGCGACGAUACGUAGCCGACCUGAGAGGGUGAUCGGCCACACUGGGACUGAGACACGGCCCAGACUCCUACGGGAGGCAGCAGUAGGGAAUCUUCCGCAAUGGACGAAAGUCUGACGGAGCAACGCCGCGUGAGCGAAGAAGGCCUUCGGGUCGUAAAGCUCUGUUGUUAGGGAACAACAAGUAACGCAGUAACUGGCGUUACCGUGACGGUACCUAACGAGAAAGCCACGGCUAACUACGUG